AGGUGUGGAAUAAGUGGGAGGCCCCACGCGCAUGCAACCCGUGCCGCUGGUGAAAUACCACUGCUCUGAUGGUUUUUUCACUUACCCGGUGAGGCGGGGGGGGGCGAGCCCCGAGGGGCUCUCGCUUCUGGCGCCAAGCGCCCGGCAUGUGCCGGGUGCGACCCGCUCCGGGGACAGCGUCAGGGGGGGAGUUUGACUGGGGAGGGACAGCUCUCAAACGCA
rnacentral:ncRNA from 1 species